CCUACGGGCGGCUGCAGUAAGGAAUAUUGGUCAAUGGACGCAAGUCUGAACCAGCCAUGCCGCGUGGAGGAUGAAGGUCCUCUGGAUUGUAAACUUCUUUUAUUUGGGAAGAAACUCCCGAUUUCCAUCGGGAUUGACGGUACCAGAUGAAUAAGCACCGGCUAACUCCGUGCCAGCAGCCGCGGUAAUACGGAGGGUGCAAGCGUUAUCCGGAUUCAAUGGGUUUAAAGGGUGCGGGUAAGGGCGUGUAGAAAUAUCCGGGCUUAACCCGGAAACUGCCAUUGGUACUGUUUGUCUUGAAUACUCUGGAGGUGAGCGGAAUAUGUCAUGUAGCGGUGAAAUGCUUAGAUAUGACAUAGAACACCCAUUGCGAAGGCAGCUCACUACGGAAAUAUUGACGCUGAGGCACGAAAGCGUGGGGAUCAAACAGGAUUAGAUACCCCGGUAGUC
rnacentral:rRNA from 1 species